UACGUAGGAUGCGAGCGUUGUCCGGAAUUACUGGGUGUAAAGGGAGCGCAGGCGGGUUCGUAAGUCGGCGGUGAAAUCUUCGGGCUCAACCCGAAAGCUGCCACCGAUACUGCGGAUCUUGGGUGCAGAAGAGGUUGAUGGAAUUCUUGGUGUAGCGGUGAAAUGCGUAGAUAUCAAGAAGAACACCGAUGGCGAAGGCAGUCAACUGGUCUGUUACCGACGCUCAUGCUCGAAAGCGUGGGGAUCAAACAGG
rnacentral:rRNA from 1 species